rnacentral:tRNA from 1 species
GCGGGCAUCGUAUAACGAUUAGUAUACCUGCCUUCCAAGCAAGUGGCGAGGGUUUGACUCCCUCUGCCCGCACCA